AUUUGUUUAAAGUAGUAAUUGUAGGAGAGAUCCCUUGCAAGAACCAUAACACCAAAAUGAUAAUUAAAAAACUGUCGGCAUUUUAGCUGUCAGUAAUCAGAACACCUAUUUCAUUUAAUAACGGGAAGAAGAAAAAAAGAUUAGAUGAGAAGCUGAGGGCCUCAGGUUCUCUAGCUCGCACUUGCGGAUGAAAAUACAGAUUAUGACAGUGCUUACCUUUCCAUGAUUAGAUUUUUAGAGUUUUCUGUGGUGAUGCUCUCUCUGGUAUUCUUAUCCAUUUGAACUAGUGAAAUAAAGGAAACUAGCCAGUACAGUACUAUGUGCUGUUUGUCAUAACUAAUUCAAAGAAAAAUAUAAAUCUGCUGUCGAUGAUUUAUGUGCACAUCUUUUUUCUCUUAAUCAUAAUAAUCAGGGAAACGACCGACGAUUCGAUAUUGAAUCUGAGACCAGAAAAGCACGUACGUGUUAGCCAAUCUUCCAUCUAACAGCUAGAAUCUGAGACCAGAAAAGCACGUACGCGUUAGCCAAUCUUCCAUGUAACAGCUAGCCAGAAGCUGGCAACCCCUAACUAGUGAUAUUGACUGAUCGCAUAAAGUAAUCCCAAGAAAGCAGACAUCUUUUUCCCUCACUAAAAAGCAAACCAUUCAUCUUUAACUAGUACCGAAUGAACACUGGAUCAUACUUGGGCAUAUCACUGAUGUUUGUGUAAGAUUCUAGUACUUGAAAGAAUAAUUAUUUCUUGGUUAUUCUUUUAUGCAUUUCCACAUGGCAACGGAUGCAGUGCCUACAAAGUACAGGUUGUAACUAGUAAUAAUGUUUUAACCUUGAGUAGUUUCUUACCCAUAUCUUUAAUCAGGAUUCCAGCCAAGCCAUGUGCAUAAUUUUACCAUGGUGUAGAAAUCAACUAUAAGCUAAUUAGAUAGGCUUGGAUUCUAAAAUUGUUUUUGAGUAUAUUGCUAAUUAUAAUUUGUAAUUGUUAUGCUUGAAUCACUUCUUGAUUAACGUAUUAGUGAUGUUCAUUAGCAAGAUCCAUAUAUAACUAAAUACUAAUAACUUUGAUUUGACAUCCUAAUUACUGAUUUUUUUUUUAUUUUAUGUUCAGGAUAUGCUAUCUCAGCAAGAUCAACUUGAGCUUGCUGCCUGCUAUAUAAAACAAAUGAGAGAAAGAGUAGAGAAGCUGAAGAGGGUGAAGGAACAAGCAAUCACAACAAUUCAAACAAGCAGGAGCGGCAUGGCUAGUAUGAUGAUUGGAUUGAGAUUGCCGGUGAUUGAACUGAGAGAUUUUGGGUCGAGCAUAGAAGUGGUGUUGGUUAGUGGGUUGAACAAGAACUUCAUGUUCUAUGAAGUUAUUACUGUUCUCAGCGAUGAAGGAGCUGAAGUUGUCAGCGCUAGCUAUUCAACUGUGGGUGAUAAGGUUUUCCACACUAUUCAUGCACAGGUGAUUAUUAAAUACAACUCUCUUACCAAAUUUAACUAUUCUAACCACAUUUUUCUGCAGGUACAAAUUGUAUGUAUAAAUAUCUCUAUAUAUAUGCAAACUAAAGUGUUAUUUACUCGGUAAAUGUAUUAGGUUAGAAUUUCCAGAGUUGGCGUGGAGACUUCAAGAGUGUGGGAAAGAUUGCAAGAACUGAUUUCCUAAGAGUUUGUAUAUGGGAGGGUAAAUGGCCAACUGAAAAAUGAAGAGCUCCAUCAAGGUGAGAUGUUUAAAAAUAUUAUGUGAAUUUCCUCUCAACGAUGGGAAAUAUGUGAGACAUGGUGUACUCAAGGGUGUGAUAAAAUAAAAGAGAAUUGUUGUAACCAGCAUUACAUCCAAACCGAUAGGUGUACUGGAGCCCUAGGCCAUUUCAUACCUUGUACUCCUUGGAAAUUUAAUAUUUCAAUGCAAUGCAAUUAUUAUGUUUGAUAUAUAUGGUUAGUGCUAAUCAAAGGAUUAAGCAUAUGAACUUGUUAUAGUAUUAGUUGGUCUGCCCCACAAUGCAGAUCGAGUUACAUUUUUCUAACAUAAAAUAAUAAUAAUUAGGUAACACCAAUGUUUUAAAAAAAACAAGAACAACCUGAGAAUCAUAUCAUUAAUUUGAUUAGUUUCAAUAAACUCAAUUAAUUUAAUAAUAUAAUUUUUUUUAAAAAUUAACAACAAAUAAGGCAAACAAAAAGAAAUGUUAAUAAUUAACUAUAAAAACAAGCUGUCAAUAUCAUACUUGAAAAAAAAAAAAACCUAAUGGAGAUUUGUUGUCACUCCACCGUAGACAUCAUCCCACUAUUAUAAAGAGCUCACUAAGAGGGUUUUAACAACACUGUAAAAGUUGCAAGACGUCAUCAAAAAAAAGUCACUUGUGCCAUUAGAGCAACAACUUAGAAAACAAAUAAAAUAAAAUAUAAUGAAGUGAACUAAAUAAGCAUUAAGUGUUUUAGAAAUUUGAAAUUAAUGAUAUUAUAUAUAUAUAUAAUUGGAAAUGAGAAUUUAUUUGGUAAAGAAUAUAAAAAUAAAAUUUGAUAUGCAUAUUGAUACAGGAAAAGCUGUAGGAGUUGUGUUGCAGUAGGGAGAUACUUUGAAAUCUUUGACCGCGGGUAUGUGUUCAACACCUUAACAUUUUUUUUUUGUAAGAUUGUUUUUAUAAUAUUUUAGAUAUGUUAUGUUAUUUUAUUUUUAAUUUGUAAAACAUAUAGUGGAAGAAAGUAAUUUCUCAGUAAUGGAAUUAAUGCCCAGUAAGGGAUAGAAGAAAUUAGUCCCGGUGAAGGGAUUAAUGCCCUAUAAAAGGCAGAAGAAAUUAGUCCCAGUUUGUAUUUUAGAUUAUAUUUCAACAGGAAAAAACUUCAUGAAUCUUCAAACUUUAAAAUAAAUAACACAUUUUAAUUUGAUUAGACUGAAGAAGUGGACUCAUCAGUUUUAUGAGCAAAAGGUCAUAUUAGAAAACAUUUCACCAUAAAAUCAAAGAAUAAAAUUAUUUAAUUAUAAAUUAAAUUUAAAUAUUACAACUAGUGAUAUCAUCUAUAGCUAAACGUUUUAAUAAUGACUAUAUUGUGUUAAAGAAAAACAUUAGAAUUGAGUAACGAGCUAGUUUAAACGAUAUAAGAAGAUACUAUAUAAUAUGAAAAAGGUUAUUUUAACAAGUGAAAAUAUUAUUAUUUUGUGUGAACGAAUAAAUUAAUGAUUUUCUUUUUUUCUUUUACUUUGAGGUAUAUUAUUAUUUUUUUUAUAUAAAAUUUAUAGUUUUGAUAAAUAAUGUAAGGAAACUAAGUAUUGAAUCAACAAUUAAAUGCAAAAUAAUUAAACUAAAUCCUAGUUUAGUUUAGCAUGUGCAAAAAAUUAGAAUGAAUAAUAUUGUUUUGAUACCUAAGAGUUUUACUAUAAUAUUUCUCAAAAAGUAAAAAAGUUGUCCUAUAAUUAAUUAUGUUUGGGAUCAUACCAAAAAUCAUUAGGUUAUCUUGAGGCUAUAUGAUUUAAAUCAUUAUAUAUAUUUUUUUCAUGUUUGUUAGUCCCAGACUUUUUUUUUUUUUUUUAUUCAUAGUCUUUCUAUCUAGUUAGCUAGGACUAGUACAAUCCCUAUGCUUUGUUAUGGAUGUUCUUUUUCAUUGUGCAACGACUUGAACCAUAGUAGUGUUAAUGAAAAGAAAAAGGAAACAUAAUCUUAAACAUAAAAUCAUUAUACAAAAGUUGCAACUAAAAAUUAAGAUUAUGAUAUUUCAUGCAAAAAACAUAUAUAAAGUCUCCUUGAUAUAAGAGGAGACACGACAACAAAUAUUAACAUAGAUAGUUAUUAAUUAAUAUUAAAUAUACAUGAAGACCAAAAACUCCGUGGAGUGUCAAAAAGCAUGAAACAAAAUGAAAAGGAACUCGGAGUAGAUGUUUCAGAAGUUGAUGUUGAGAUGUUAGUAUAGUUAGGCAAGAAUUCCAUUGUAAACUCUGUCUAAAAAUGGCAUAUGCUUGCAUGAUCCUCCUCCAAUGUUGGCAAGCUUGGUGGUCACUAAUCUUGUAGGAAAAUGAAUGUGUUAGAACUUGUUAAAAGAGGGAAAGUAUCGAAAUAUAAAGGUGUUGGUGUGAAGCUCAUACAUUAAAGCAAAAUCAUGUUAAAGUACCAUGAAUGAGAGCUAAAAGAAAAGGAAAAACAACAGUUUUGAGCUGAUGUAGGUUGUGAUUCUUUUGCAAGACAGUUGGCAUCAUCAACUUUAAUAGUUAAAUUGAAGGAAGAGCCAACUAAUGGUACAUAAAUCAAAUGAGAGACAUAAAAAGACAGUAAAUAUGGACUAAACCUAUGAAAUUAAUCAAUACAACAUGCAAUGCAAUAACCAAUAGCUAAAUGGAAGCAAACAUGCGCCAAAAGAAAAUAGUAAGGCAAUAUAGAUAAAAGCCAAAAGGAAAAAUAUUUUGAGUGUGUGACAACAUAUCAAAAUUUUGAAUCAAGUGCCAAUUUGAUAUCGAUAAAAGGGGCAGCAAAGAAGCAAUAAAUGAAAGAUAAAUGUGCCAUAAUAACAACUUUUUUUAAUCUCCAAGAACAUAGAAAAAAGCAUGUCAAUCCAUUAAUUUGUUUUAUGAAACUGCUUGAAAAUGGUGUUAAUAUAGGUGAGCAAUAUUCUAGAUCUUAUAGCAUCGUCAAGCAAGACUUCACACAUUUGUUUUCAUGAGAAAAAAAAGGAGCAUAACUUUUUUAAAUUAAAAAAAUUAAUUAAACUAAAAAAAUAAAGAAGCAUGACAUCGCAAGCCUAAUAGAAAGUUGUAAAUAUUGAGAUGGAGGGGAAAUGCUUGGCUUUGUGAGGUUGGACGAGCAAAGUCCUUAUCAUCAUCAUUAUUAUUAUUAUUGCUAUAAAAGGUGUUAUAUUAUAAGAAAUAUUGUAAUUUUUCUAUAUAGAUUUAUCCUGUGUAGCAUGUUUUAUAUUAUCAUAUGUAUAUUGUCAGGGUUUUGGUGGUGUAAAACGAAUUAGGAAGGGAAAUAAAUACUUUUUUUCUUUGGAGAGUCGAGAUGAAGAAGAGCAGCAGUGAGACGUCCAAGCUUGAUCGAAAAACAGUGGAGAAAAAUCGGAGGGUUCACAUGAAAGAUUUAUGCUUCAAGCUUGCUUCUCUUGUUCCUCAUCAUUUUUUCAAACCCUCCAAGGUAUUUUUCGUGUAUGUGUGUUUGUUAAGAAGUUAGGUAUGCUAUAAAUUCAUGGGAUCAUAUUAUUUUCUUCUUGUCCAAGUAAAAUAUAUAUAGUUUUUGCAGGUGUUUAAAGAUGUAUGUGGGCUAGUAAACCAUUUUUACAAAUGCAUUUGUUUAAAGUAGUAAUUGUAGGAGAGAUCCCUUGCAAGAACCAUAACACCAAAAUGAUAAUUAAAAAACUGUCGGCAUUUUAGCUGUCAGUAAUCAGAACACCUAUUUCAUUUAAUAACGGGAAGAAAAAAAGAUUAGAUGAGAAGCUGAGGGCCUCAGGUUCUCUAGCUCCCACUUGCGGAUGAAAAUACAGAUUAUGACAGUGCUUAGCUUGCCAUGAUUAGAUUUUUAGAGUUUUCUGUGGUGAUGCUCUCUCUGGUUUCUUAUCCAUUUGAACUCGUGAAAUAAAGGAAACUAGCCAGUACAGUACUAUGUGCUGUUUUUCAUAACUAAUUCAAAGAAAAAUAUAAAUCUGAUGUCGAUGAUUUAUGUGCACAUCUUUUUUCUCUUAAUCAUAAUAAUCAGGGAAACGACCGACGAUUCGAUAUUGAAUCUGAGACCAGAAAAGCACGUACGUGUUAGCCAAUCUUCCAUCUAACAGCUAGCCAGAAGCUGGCAACCCCUAACUAGUGAUAUUGACUGAUCGUAUAAAGUAAUCCCAAGAAAGCAGACAUCUUUUUCCCUCACUAAAAAGCAAACCAUGCAUCUUUAACUAGUGUCGAUUCAUGGUGAAAUCUGAAUGAACACUGGAUCAUACUUGGGCAUAUCACUGAUGUUUGUGUAAGAUUCUAGUACUUGAAAGAAUAAUUAUUUAUUGGUUACUCUUUUAUGCAUUUCCACAUGGC
rnacentral:lncRNA from 1 species